rnacentral:rRNA from 1 species
GACGAACGCUUUCGGCGUGCUUAACACAUGCAAGUCGAACGGAAAGGCCCUGCUUUUGUGGGGUGCUCGAGUGGCGAACGGGUGAGUAACACGUGAGUAACCUGCCCUUGACUUUGGGAUAACUUCAGGAAACUGGGGCUAAUACCGGAUAGGAGCUCCUGCUGCAUGGUGGGGGUUGGAAAGUUUCGGCGGUUGGGGAUGGACUCGCGGCUUAUCAGCUUGUUGGUGGGGUAGUGGCUUACCAAGGCUUUGACGGGUAGCCGGCCUGAGAGGGUGACCGGCCACAUUGGGACUGAGAUACGGCCCAGACUCCUACGGGAGGCAGCAGUGGGGAAUAUUGCACAAUGGGCGGAAGCCUGAUGCAGCAACGCCGCGUGCGGGAUGACGGCCUUCGGGUUGUAAACCGCUUUCGCCUGUGACGAAGCGUGAGUGACGGUAAUGGGUAAAGAAGCACCGGCUAACUACGUGCCAGCAGCCGCGGUGAUACGUAGGGUGCGAGCGUUGUCCGGAUUUAUUGGGCGUAAAGGGCUCGUAGGUGGUUGAUCGCGUCGGAAGUGUAAUCUUGGGGCUUAACCCUGAGCGUGCUUUCGAUACGGGUUGACUUGAGGAAGGUAGGGGAGAGUGGAAUUCCUGGUGGAGCGGUGGAAUGCGCAGAUAUCAGGAGGAACACCAGUGGCGAAGGCGGUUCUCUGGGCCUUUCCUGACGCUGAGGAGCGAAAGCGUGGGGAGCGAACAGGCUUAGAUACCCUGGUAGUCCACGCUGUAAACGGUGGGUACUAGGUGUGGGGUCCAUUCCACGGGUUCCGUGCCGUAGCUAACGCUUUAAGUACCCCGCCUGGGGAGUACGGCCGCAAGGCUAAAACUCAAAGGAAUUGACGGGGCCCCGCACAAGCGGCGGAGCAUGCGGAUUAAUUCGAUGCAACGCGUAGAACCUUACCUGGGUUUGACAUGGAUCGGGAGUGCUCAGAGAUGGGUGUGCCUCUUUUGGGGUCGGUUCACAGGUGGUGCAUGGCUGUCGUCAGCUCGUGUCGUGAGAUGUUGGGUUAAGUCCCGCAACGAGCGCAACCCUUGUUCACUGUUGCCAGCACGUUAUGGUGGGGACUCAGUGGAGACCGCCGGGGUCAACUCGGAGGAAGGUGGGGAUGACGUCAAGUCAUCAUGCCCCUUAUGUCCAGGGCUUCACGCAUGCUACAAUGGCUGGUACAGAGAGUGGCGAGCCUGUGAGGGUGAGCGAAUCUCGGAAAGCCGGUCUCAGUUCGGAUUGGGGUCUGCAACUCGACCUCAUGAAGUCGGAGUCGCUAGUAAUCGCAGAUCAGCAACGCUGCGGUGAAUACGUUCCCGGG